UAUAAUCAGGCACCAUCAGCGGAUACCUUGAGGUCCUUGAGCACACGGAACAUAAAAGCCGCCAUGUUGUAAAGUUUCAUCUUUUCGUUUCUGGCGUCGUUGGGAAGUGGAGCUGUUUGCUGUCUGAUUUUACAGCACGUGUCUUCUGACAAGUCUUGCUCUGAUUUAAACCUGGGCUCUGGAUGAUCCUGGAGACAGAAGUGCAGCUCCGCCCCUCACAUGGUUGUGUUUGGGGAGACACUGGUGGAAGAAGAUUGAAUUUUUGGCUAGUUUAUAAAAUCAGUGUGAUGAAUAACUGUUUAUUUAACUGAAGUGUGCUGUAACUGUUGAAAUAAAUUUCAGUAUUUGAGUUCUA